UACAGAGGUCCCGAGCGUUGUUCGGAUUCACUGGGCGUAAAGGGUGCGUAGGUGGUCCGUUAAGUUCGUUGUGAAAUCCCUGGGCUCAACCCAGGAAAUGCUUCGAAUACUGGCGGACUUGAGGCUAGUAGAGGUCACUGGAACUGACGGUGGAGCGGUGAAAUGCGUAGAUAUCGUCAGGAACGCCGAUGGUGAAGACAGGUGACUGGGCUAGUUCUGACACUGAGGCACGAAAGCGUGGGGAGCGAACGGG
rnacentral:rRNA from 1 species